UGACUGGGGUGAAGUCGUAACAAGGUAACCGUAGGGGAACCUGCGGUUGGAUCACCUCCUUACCUUAAAGAACCUGNCACUAUCGUUAACUGAAUACAUAGGUUAACGAGGCGAACCGGGGGAACUGAAACAUCUAAGUACCCCGAGGAAAAGAAAUCAACCGAGAUUCCCCCAGUAGCGGCGAGCGAACGGGGAGCAGCCCAGAGUCUGAAUCAGCUUGUGUGUUAGUGGAACGGUCUGGAAAGUCCGACGGUACAGGGUGAUAGUCCCGUACACCAAAAUGCACAGGCUGUGAACUCGAAGAGUAGGGCGGGACACGUGGUAUCCUGUCUGAAUAUGGGGGGACCAUCCUCCAAGGCUAAAUACUCCUGACUGACCGAUAGUGAACCAGUACCGUGAGGGAAAGGCGAAAAGAACCCCGGCGAGGGGAGUGAAAAAGAACCUGAAACCGUGUACGUACAAGCAGUGGGAGCACCUUCGGGUGUGACUGCGUACCUUUUGUAUAAUGGGUCAGCGACUUAUAUUCUGUAGCAAGGUUAACCGUAUAGGGGAGCCGCAGGGAAACCGAGUCUUAACUGGGCGUUAAGUUGCAGGGUAUAGACCCGAAACCCGGUGAUCUAGCCAUGGGCAGGUUGAAGGUUGGGUAACACUAACUGGAGGACCGAACCGACUAAUGUUGAAAAAUUAGCGGAUGACUUGUGGCUGGGGGUGAAAGGCCAAUCAAACCGGGAGAUAGCUGGUUCUCCCCGAAAGCUAUUUAGGUAGCGCCUCGUGAACUCAUCUUCGGGGGUAGAGCACUGUUUCGGCUAGGGGGUCAUCCCGACUUACCAACCCGAUGCAAACUACGAAUACCGAAGAAUGUUAUCACGGGAGACACACGGCGGGUGCUAACGUCCGUCGUGAAGAGGGAAACAACCCAGACCGCCAGCUAAGGUCCCAAAGUCAUGGUUAAGUGGGAAACGAUGUGGGAAGGCACAGACAGCCAGGAUGUUGGCUUAGAAGCAGCCAUCAUUUAAAGAAAGCGUAAUAGCUCACUGGUCGAGUCGGCCUGCGCGGAAGAUGUAACGGGGCUAAACCAUGCACCGAAGCUGCGGCAGCGACACUAUGUGUUGUUGGGUAGGGGAGCGUUCUGUAAGCCUGCGAAGGUGUGCUGUGAGGCAUGCUGGAGGUAUCAGAAGUGCGAAUGCUGACAUAAGUAACGAUAAAGCGGGUGAAAAGCCCGCUCGCCGGAAGACCAAGGGUUCCUGUCCAACGUUAAUCGGGGCAGGGUGAGUCGACCCCUAAGGCGAGGCCGAAAGGCGUAGUCGAUGGGAAACAGGUUAAUAUUCCUGUACUUGGUGUUACUGCGAAGGGGGGACGGAGAAGGCUAUGUUAGCCGGGCGACGGUUGUCCCGGUUUAAGCAUGUAGGCUGAUUGUCCAGGCAAAUCCGGAUAAUCAAGGCUGAGGUGUGAUGACGAGGCACUACGGUGCUGAAGUAACAAAUGCCCUGCUUCCAGGAAAAGCCUCUAAGCAUCAGGUAACAUCAAAUCGUACCCCAAACCGACACAGGUGGUCAGGUAGAGAAUACCAAGGCGCUUGAGAGAACUCGGGUGAAGGAACUAGGCAAAAUGGUGCCGUAACUUCGGGAGAAGGCACGCUGGUGUGUAGGUGAAGUCCCUGCGGAUGGAGCUGAGACCAGUCGAAGAUACCAGCUGGCUGCAACUGUUUAUUAAAAACACAGCACUGUGCAAACACGAAAGUGGACGUAUACGGUGUGACGCCUGCCCGGUGCCGGAAGGUUAAUUGAUGGGGUUAUCCGUAAGGAGAAGCUCUUGAUCGAAGCCCCGGUAAACGGCGGCCGUAACUAUAACGGUCCUAAGGUAGCGAAAUUCCUUGUCGGGUAAGUUCCGACCUGCACGAAUGGCGUAAUGAUGGCCAGGCUGUCUCCACCCGAGACUCAGUGAAAUUGAACUCGCUGUGAAGAUGCAGUGUACCCGCGGCAAGACGGAAAGACCCCGUGAACCUUUACUAUAGCUUGACACUGAACAUUGAGCCUUGAUGUGUAGGAUAGGUGGGAGGCUUUGAAGCGUGGACGCCAGUCUGCGUGGAGCCAACCUUGAAAUACCACCCUUUAAUGUUUGAUGUUCUAACGUUGGCCCCUUACCGGGGUUGCGGACAGUGUCUGGUGGGUAGUUUGACUGGGGCGGUCUCCUCCCAAAGCGUAACGGAGGAGCACGAAGGUUAGCUAAUCCUGGUCGGACAUCAGGAGGUUAGUGCAAUGGCAUAAGCUAGCUUGACUGCGAGCGUGACGGCGCGAGCAGGUGCGAAAGCAGGUCAUAGUGAUCCGGUGGUUCUGAAUGGAAGGGCCAUCGCUCAACGGAUAAAAGGUACUCCGGGGAUAACAGGCUGAUACCGCCCAAGAGUUCAUAUCGACGGCGGUGUUUGGCACCUCGAUGUCGGCUCAUCACAUCCUGGGGCUGAAGUAGGUCCCAAGGGUAUGGCUGUUCGCCAUUUAAAGUGGUACGCGAGCUGGGUUUAGAACGUCGUGAGACAGUUCGGUCCCUAUCUGCCGUGGGCGCUGGAGAAUUGAGGGGGGCUGCUCCUAGUACGAGAGGACCGGAGUGGACGCAUCACUGGUGUUCGGGUUGUCAUGCCAAUGGCACUGCCCGGUAGCUAAAUGCGGAAGAGAUAAGUGCUGAAAGCAUCUAAGCACGAAACUUGCCCCGAGAUGAGUUCUCCCUGAGACUUUAAGUCUCCUGAAGGAACGUUGAAGACGACGACGUUGAUAGGCCGGGUGUGUAAGCGCAGCGAUGCGUUGAGCUAACCGGUACUAAUGAACCGUGAGGCUUAACCUU
rnacentral:rRNA from 1 species